UCUGACAGAGGAGGGGGAGCAUAUGGAUGGGGAGGGACACGGAGAGGGCAAAUGACCGAGGUUGCAAAGGAGAGCUGGGGAAAGAGAGAGGGCAAGAGAAGACAAGAUGGAGGAGAGGAGUAGCGAUGGAUAAAUGGAUGUGGACAGGAAUGCCUUGUUGGUGGUGGGAUGGGGAGUGAGUGAAUAUCCAGCGGGGGAAGGAGAUGGAUGUGGCAGUGGAAGACCUGCAGGGUAGAGACGAGGGUGGAGACAAAGGCAUGGGGUUGGAGGUUAACCAAGCUUGGCAGGAGGCGUGUGUGCUAUGCCACACUAGGAAGGCUGACCCUCGAGAUUGGACUAAGCGAUAAAGAGCAGAAAGCAGGCGCAAGCUGAAGGCUGUACUCAACAUCCACAUCAGAUGAGAGCUGCUUUAUCAUCGAAAGGGGGCUGACUUAAAUCAUUUAAUUACAUGCUGCUAUGUUUUGCUCAUGUGGUUGAGCCCUGUUUCCGAUGUGCGUGACUGGCCGUUAUUGACAAUGACAGUGACAGUGUUUACUGUGACCCAUCAGGGGAUAAGAAGGUGGAAUCAAUUUAGAAUAUAAAACAAAGAUCUAUAAAUGUUAUGUAAAGCAGGAGGGAAGAUUUGAAUUGGACCUUCUAUGUGAGUCACAGACACAACAUAGAGCUGUAACUAGAAAUGGAACAAUAGAGCACAUUUGUGAUAUUGUAAUCUUACAACUUUAAACAUGACCAUUGUUGGCAUAUCACAGUGUAUGCUUACUAUGUCACUUUUUUUUUUUUUUUUUUAAAGAGGAUGGCACAUAAGACCUUAGCAACAGCUCAAGAAUUAAAUUUAUUCAGUUAGGAAUUUUUUUUAAACAAACAUUAUCACUUUUAGUUUUCAGGGAAUUUUGUGUUUACGUUUUUUAUAAAAUUUAAUUUUUGGAGCCUAUUUGAAGAAUAAUUAAAAAUAUAUUUUAUGCUAAAAAUAAUUAAAAAUAAUUUUUAAUCAUAAAACAUAUUCUCUAUGUAGGUAUAGUGGAAUGUUAAUGGUGUAACUAUUUCAGUUUUCUGUCACUGUAUACUACUGUAUACUAUAUAGUAUUGUACACAGAAUGAUGUGUGAAUAAAAUUCCUGCACUUAUACUUUCAUUUGACCUGAAACAAUCUGGGUUACUAUACGAUAUAAGAUCAGGUGCACACUAAUGAAGAAAGGGACAACUAUGACAUCUCAUGAAAGCAAUCCAGUUCUUUUUUCCCUGGCUUUAAAAAAGAGACACGAGCGAUCUUCACUUGGCUUUGAAGCCAGUCUCUACAGUCCUGAGUCUGGCUCCACUGUGGACCAUGGGGUGCCUCAACACAAAGCCAGGAGCUCAGCAGUGUUCCUAAUGCUAAACAAACUAAUCACUAAAUAUCCUUAAAGGGAUGAAUCUAGCACAAAAAGCAAGACCAUGGGGAGGAAAAGAGAAGAGGGCUUUAUAGACUUUGAGGAGAUCAGGAGUGGUUAAUUCACCUGCUCACUCUAAACUCAACUCUUCAUUGGGCUUCACUGGGAUAUUAAGUUGUUCAUGCUGUAGGGUCAUAAAGCUUUUAAUCAUUUUUAUUUGAUAAUUU